rnacentral:rRNA from 1 species
CCCCGAAAGCUAUUUAGGUAGCGCCUCGUGAAUUCAUCUCCGGGGGUAGAGCACUGUUUCGGCUAGGGGGCCAUCCCGGCUUACCAACCCGAUGCAAACUGCGAAUACCGGAGAAUGUUAUCACGGGAGACACACGGCGGGUGCUAACGUCCGUCGUGAAGAGGGAAACAACCCAGACCGCCAGCUAAGGUCCCAAAGUCAUGGUUAAGUGGGAAACGAUGUGGGAAGGCCCAGACAGCCAGGAUGUUGGCUUAGAAGCAGCCAUCAUUUAAAGAAAGCGUAAUAGCUCACUGGUCGAGUCGGCCUGCGCGGAAGAUGUAACGGGGCUAAACCAUGCACCGAAGCUGCGGCAGCGACGCUGAUGCGUUGUUGGGUAGGGGAGCGUUCUGUAAGCCUGCGAAGGUG